rnacentral:rRNA from 1 species
UACAGGGGGUGCAAACGUUGCUCGGAAUCAUUGGGCGUAAAGCGCACGUAGGCGGCUUAGCAAGUCGGAAGUGAAAUCCCUCGGCUCAACCAAGGAAGUGCUUUCGAAACUGCUGAGCUUGAGUACUUAAGAGGAUCGCGGAAUUCCCGGUGUAGAGGUGAAAUUCGUAGAUAUCGGGAGGAACACCAGUGGCGAAGGCGGCGAUCUGGGAAGAUACUGACGCUGAGGUGCGAAAGCGUGGGGAGCAAACAGG